rnacentral:rRNA from 1 species
UACGAAGGGGGCUAGCGUUGCUCGGAAUCACUGGGCGUAAAGCGCACGUAGGCGGAUUGCUAAGUCAGGGGUGAAAUCCUGGAGCUCAACUCCAGAACUGCCUUUGAUACUGGCGAUCUUGAGUCCGGGAGAGGUGAGUGGAACUGCGAGUGUAGAGGUGAAAUUCGUAGAUAUUCGCAAGAACACCAGUGGUGAAGGCGGCUCACUGGCCCGGUACUGACGCUGAGGUGCGAAAGCGUGGGGAGCAAACAGG